rnacentral:rRNA from 1 species
UACGUAGGGGGCAAGCGUUGUCCGGAAUCAUUGGGCGUAAAGCGCAUGUAGGCGGCCAGAUAAGUCCGCUGUGAAAUCUCGAGGCUCAACUUCGAGCUGUCGGUGGAAACUGUCUGGCUAGAGUCCGGAAGAGGAGAAUGGAAUUCCUGGUGUAGCGGUGAAAUGCGCAGAUAUCAGGAAGAACACCCGUGGCGAAGGCGGGUCUCUGGGCCGAUACUGACGCUGAGGAGCGAAAGCGUGGGGAGCGAACAGG